UAAGUUGCAGGGUAUAGACCCGAAACCCGGUGAUCUAGCCAUGGGCAGGUUGAAGGUUGGGUAACACUAACUGGAGGACCGAACCGACUAAUGUUGAAAAAUUAGCGGAUGACUUGUGGCUGGGGGUGAAAGGCCAAUCAAACCGGGAGAUAGCUGGUUCUCCCCGAAAGCUAUUUAGGUAGCGCCUCGUGAAUUCAUCUCCGGGGGUAGAGCACUGUUUCGGCAAGGGGGUCAUCCCGACUUACCAACCCGAUGCAAACUGCGAAUACCGGAGAAUGUUAUCACGGGAGACACACGGCGGGUGCUAACGUCCGUCGUGAAGAGGGAAACAACCCAGACCGCCAGCUAAGGUCCCAAAGUCAUGGUUAAGUGGGAAACGAUGUGGGAAGGCCCAGACAGCCAGGAUGUUGGCUUAGAAGCAGCCAUCAUUUAAAGAAAGCGUAAUAGCUCACUGGUCGAGUCGGCCUGCGCGGAAGAUGUAACGGGGCUAAACCAUGCACCGAAGCUGCGGCAGCGACACUGUGUGUUGUUGGGUAGGGGAGCGUUCUGUAAGCCUGUGAAGGUGUGCUGUGAGGCAUGCUGGAGGUAUCAGAAGUGCGAAUGCUGACAUAAGUAACGAUAAAGCGGGUGAAAAGCCCGCUCGCCGGAAGACCAAGGGUUCCUGUCCAACGUUAAUCGGGGCAGGGUGAGUCGACCCCUAAGGCGAGGCCGAAAGGCGUAGUCGAUGGGAAACAGGUUAAUAUUCCUGUACUUGGUGUUACUGCGAAGGGGGGACGGAGAAGGCUAUGUUGGCCGGGCGACGGUUGUCCCGGUUUAAGCGUGUAGGCUGGUUUUCCAGGCAAAUCCGGAAAAUCAAGGCUGAGGCGUGAUGACGAGGCACUACGGUGCUGAAGCAACAAAUGCCCUGCUUCCAGGAAAAGCCUCUAAGCAUCAGGUAACAUCAAAUCGUACCCCAAACCGACACAGGUGGUCAGGUAGAGAAUACCAAGGCGCUUGAGAGAACUCGGGUGAAGGAACUAGGCAAAAUGGUGCCGUAACUUCGGGAGAAGGCACGCUGAUAUGUAGGUGAAGUCCCUCGCGGAUGGAGCUGAAAUCAGUCGAAGAUACCAGCUGGCUGCAACUGUUUAUUAAAAACACAGCACUGUGCAAACACGAAAGUGGACGUAUACGGUGUGACGCCUGCCCGGUGCCGGAAGGUUAAUUGAUGGGGUCAGCGCAAGCGAAGCUCUUGAUCGAAGCCCCGGUAAACGGCGGCCGUAACUAUAACGGUCCUAAGGUAGCGAAAUUCCUUGUCGGGUAAGUUCCGACCUGCACGAAUGGCGUAAUGAUGGCCAGGCUGUCUCCACCCGAGACUCAGUGAAAUUGAACUCGCUGUGAAGAUGCAGUGUACCCGCGGCAAGACGGAAAGACCCCGUGAACCUUUACUAUAGCUUGACACUGAACAUUGAGCCUUGAUGUGUAGGAUAGGUGGGAGGCUUUGAAGUGUGGACGCCAGUCUGCAUGGAGCCGACCUUGAAAUACCACCCUUUAAUGUUUGAUGUUCUAACGUGGACCCGUGAUCCGGGUUGCGGACAGUGUCUGGUGGGUAGUUUGACUGGGGCGGUCUCCUCCUAAAGAGUAACGGAGGAGCACGAAGGUUGGCUAAUCCUGGUCGGACAUCAGGAGGUUAGUGCAAUGGCAUAAGCCAGCUUGACUGCGAGCGUGACGGCGCGAGCAGGUGCGAAAGCAGGUCAUAGUGAUCCGGUGGUUCUGAAUGGAAGGGCCAUCGCUCAACGGAUAAAAGGUACUCCGGGGAUAACAGGCUGAUACCGCCCAAGAGUUCAUAUCGACGGCGGUGUUUGGCACCUCGAUGUCGGCUCAUCACAUCCUGGGGCUGAAGUAGGUCCCAAGGGUAUGGCUGUUCGCCAUUUAAAGUGGUACGCGAGCUGGGUUUAGAACGUCGUGAGACAGUUCGGUCCCUAUCUGCCGUGGGCGCUGGAGAACUGAGGGGGGCUGCUCCUAGUACGAGAGGACCGGAGUGGACGCAUCACUGGUGUUCGGGUUGUCAUGCCAAUGGCACUGCCCGGUAGCUAAAUGCGGAAGAGAUAAGUGCUGAAAGCAUCUAAGCACGAAACUUGCCCCGAGAUGAGUUCUCCCUGACCCUUUAAGGGUCCUGAAGGAACGUUGAAGACGACGACGUUGAUAGGCCGGGUGUGUAAGCGCAGCGAUGCGUUGAGCUAACCGGUACUAAUGAACCGUGAGGCUUAACCUU
rnacentral:rRNA from 1 species